CAGAGGAAAGCUGUAGAGUUCUGUCCUCAGUUCUCAGCUCAAACUCCUCCAGUCUGAGAGAACUGGAUCUGUGUCACAAUAAACUGCAGGAUUCAGGAGUGAAGCUGCUCUCUGCUGGACUGGAGGAUCCACACUGCACACUGGAGAUACUGAGGCUGUGUGAGUGUAAUCUGACAGAGGAAAGCUGUAGAGUUCUGUCCUCAGUUCUCAGCUCAAACUCCUCCAGUCUGAGAGAACUGAACCUGAGUGAGAAUAAACUGCAGGAUUCAGGAGUGAAGCUGCUCUCUGCUGGACUGGAGAAUCCACACUGUACACUGGAGAUACUGAGACGCUGAAGGAUUUGACUUUGGAUUGUAAAAUAUGUUAUUAAAGCCUGAAGUAACUUGUAGCUGAGUGGAUAAAAGGAUGUGAUGGAACGUCUACAUGUGAAUAUGAAUGAUUCAGCUCCCAAACUGCUGGAAAUGUGGGACGG